ACGGAGACAUGCGAAGUAAAAGUGCAGACAAGCAGUGUCUACUUCGUGCACAACUUGAACGAACUACAACAGGCUGCAACAAAGACACAG